CAAGCAGGCUACCCUAUCGCCUUGUGCCGAACUUGUUUCGGGACGAGGAGGAAAGUCCGGACACCGAAGUGCGGCAUAGCGGGUAACACCCGUCCGUCGAGAGACGCGGACCAGUGCAGCAGAAAGAAUGUACAGGUAAUGCUGUAGUGAAAUCAGGUAAACUCUAUGCGGUGAAACGUCACGUAAAUCGGUGUUUGAGGGCGGCACGCCCGAGCCGAAGGGUAGGCGGAUCGAGCCAUUGGGCAACCAUGGGCCUAGAUAAAUGAUAGGGAUUGCGCUUCUAGCGCAGCACAGAAUCCGGCUUAUGGCCUGCUUUUUUU
rnacentral:RNase_P_RNA from 1 species